rnacentral:rRNA from 1 species
UACGUAGGGUGCGAGCGUUGUCCGGAAUUAUUGGGCGUAAAGAGCUUGUAGGUGGUUUGUCGCGUCUGCCGUGAAAGUCCGGGGCUCAACUCCGGAUCUGCGGUGGGUACGGGCAGACUAGAGUGAUGUAGGGGAGACUGGAAUUCCUGGUGUAGCGGUGAAAUGCGCAGAUAUCAGGAGGAACACCGACGGCGAAGGCAGCUUACUGGGCCGAUACUGACGCUGAGGAGCGAAAGCGUGGGGAGCGAACAGG